rnacentral:rRNA from 1 species
UACGUAGGGACCAAGCGUUGUUCGGAUUUACUGGGCGUAAAGGGCGCGUAGGCGGCGUGUUAAGUCACUUGUGAAAUCUCUAAGCUUAACUUAGAACGGUCAAGUGAUACUGAUGUGCUAGAGUGCAGAAGGGGCAACCGGAAUUCUUGGUGUAGCGGUGAAAUGCGCAGAUAUCAGGAGGAACACCGGUGGCGAAGGCGGUUCUCUGGGCCAUAACUGACGCUGAGAAGCGAAAGCAUGGGGAGCGAACAGG